GAUGAAGAACGUAGCGAAAUGCGAUACUUGGUGUGAAUUGCAGAAUCCCGUGAACCAUCGAGUCUUUGAACGCAAGUUGCGCCCGAAGCCAUUAGGCCGAGGGCACGCCUGCCUGGGCGUCACACGUCGUUGCCCCCCCAUCUACUCCUUCGGGAUUGCGGGGGGCGGAUGAUGGCCUCCCGUGCGCCUAGUCGCGCGGUUGGCAUAAUAGCCAAGUCCUCGGCGACGCACGCCACGACAAUCGGUGGUUGCGAAACCUCGGUUGCCCGUCGUGUGCGGUCGUCGCGCAUCGAGGGCUCGAAAAAAUUGCCGGGCUCCGGCUCGGCUUUCAACGCGACCCCAGGUCAGGCGGGGUUACCCGCUGAAUUUAAGCAUAUCAAUAAGCGAGGA
rnacentral:misc_RNA from 1 species